AUACUUACCUGGCACAGGAGAUAUCGUGAUCACGAAGGUGGUUCUCCCAGGGUGAAGCUCACCAUUGCACUCUGGUGGCGCUGACCCCUGCGAUUGACCCAAAUGUGGUUAACACUAAGCGCAGUUUUUGAUAGCGGGGGCCUGCGUUCGCACUAUCCCCCU